rnacentral:rRNA from 1 species
AACGAACGCUGGCGGCAUGCCUAACACAUGCAAGUCGAACGAGACCUUCGGGUCUAGUGGCGCACGGGUGCGUAACGCGUGGGAACCUGCCUUUAGGUUCGGAAUAACUCAGAGAAAUUUGAGCUAAUACCGGAUGAUGUCUUCGGACCAAAGAUUUAUCGCCUUUAGAUGGGCCCGCGUUGGAUUAGCUUGUUGGUGGGGUAAAGGCCUACCAAGGCGACGAUCCAUAGCUGGUCUGAGAGGAUGAUCAGCCACACUGGGACUGAGACACGGCCCAGACUCCUACGGGAGGCAGCAGUGGGGAAUAUUGGACAAUGGGCGAAAGCCUGAUCCAGCAAUGCCGCGUGAGUGAUGAAGGCCUUAGGGUUGUAAAGCUCUUUUACCCGAGAUGAUAAUGACAGUAUCGGGAGAAUAAGCUCCGGCUAACUCCGUG